rnacentral:rRNA from 1 species
UGGGGAAUAUUGCGCAAUGGGGGGAACCCUGACGCAGCCAUGCCGCGUGAAUGAAGAAGGCCUUAGGGUUGUAAAGUUCUUUCGGUAUUGAGGAAGGUUGAUGUGUUAAUAGCACAUCAAAUUGACGUUAAAUACAGAAGAAGCACCGGCUAACUCCGUGCCGGCAGCCGCGGUAAUACGGAGGGUGCGAGCGUUAAUCGGAAUAACUGGGCGUAAAGGGCACGCAGGCGGUUAUUUAAGUGAGGUGUGAAAGCCCCGGGCUUAACCUGGGAAUUGCAUUUCAGACUGGGUAACUAGAGUACUUUAGGGAGGGGUAGAAUUCCACGUGUAGCGGUGAAAUGCGUAGAGAUGUGGAGGAAUACCGAAGGCGAAGGCAGCCCCUUGGGAAUGUACUGACGCUCAUGUGCGAAAGCGUGGGGAGCAAACAGGAUUAGAUACCCUGGUAGUCCACGCUGUAAACGCUGUCGAUUUGGGGGUUGGGGUUUAACUCUGGCGCCCGUAGCUAACGUGAUAAAUCGACCGCCUGGGGAGUACGGCCGCAAGGUUA